GACGAACGCUGGCGGCGUGCCUAAUACAUGCAAGUCGAACGAGUGGCGGACGGGUGAGUAACACGUGGGAACCUACCCAUCAGAGGGGGAUAACUACUGGAAACGGUAGCUAAUACCGCAUACCAUCGGAUGUGCCCAGAUGGGAUUAGCUUGUUGGGGGGGUAACGGCUCACCAAGGCGACGAUCCCUAGCUGGUCUGAGAGGAUGACCAGCCACACGGGAACUGAGACACGGUCCAGACUCCUACGGGAGGCAGCAGUGGGGAAUAUUGCACAAUGGGCGCAAGCCUGAUGCAGCCAUCCCGCGUGUAUGAUGAAGGCCUUCGGGUUGUAAAGUACUUUUGGCAGAGAAGCGGUAUCUGCAGAAUAAGCACCGGCUAACUACGUGCCAGCAGCCGCGGUAAUUC
rnacentral:rRNA from 1 species